UUUAAUUGUAUCACUUUAUUUCAGGGACCUCCCGGUCUCCUCUCCUUAUCCCACUCCCAAACCUCAGGGCAGGAAAUGGGCUUGGCUGAGAAUAUCCAUGCUUGAUUACCUGGGGAGGUAUGCAGCCCCUAAGGGAGAUUUGAAGAGCACCUCCCCUUCUGAGGAGGCCAUUCUGGUCUGGAACCAGUUGCAACGGGUAGGUAAGAGAAAUCUAGCGGUGGCCACAUUUUUAUCCUGGCAAGUGGAUCUCUGUUUACAAAGAUUCCCUCCAUCCUUCAGGAAACUGCACAUGUACCUGUGCAAACUACACAAGAAUGUGGGACCCCUGUGCUGCUCCCAAGGGAAAGGUUCUGUCUGGGUGUGGGAUGGAUCUAAACAAGCAAUACCCAUAUGCUGUCUGUGGUCUAAGGGGGGGUGGGUGGGCGGCAGAAGGAAUGGCUGUCCUGUGGAGCAGCUGAAAAGAGAGAUGGAUCAGAAAGUGAAGUGAGGCAGAAGCCAGAGACCAGGAGAAGACAGCAAGAGAUCCUAGAGCAGGCAGUCUGUAACCUCCU
ensembl:antisense Gm28959 predicted gene 28959